rnacentral:rRNA from 1 species
AUUGAACGCUGGCGGCAUGCCUUACACAUGCAAGUCGAACGGCAGCACGGGGCAACCUGGUGGCGAGUGGCGAACGGGUGAGUAAUGCAUCGGAACGUACCUUUCAGUGGGGGAUAACGCGCCGAAAGGUACGCUAAUCCCGCAUACGCUCCUUAGGGAGGAAAGCCGCAAGGCGCAGACGGAGUGGCCCGCGGCCCAUCAGGUCGUUGGUGGGGUAAUGGCCUACCAAGCCGAUGACGGGUAGCUGGUCUGAGAGGACAGACAGCCAGACUGGGAUUGAGAGACGGCCCAGACUCCUACGGGAGGCAGCAGCAAGGAAUUUUCGUCAAUGGGCGCAAGCCUGAACGAGCAACGCCGCGUGGAGGAUGACGGCUUUCGGGUUGUAAACUCCUUUUUGGGGGGACGAUGAUGACGGUACCCCCGGAAUAAGCCCCGGCUAACUCUGUGCCAGCAGCCGCCGUAA